AUGAACGCUGGCGGCGUGCUUCACACAUGCAAGUCGAACGAAGCACUUUAACCUGAUUCUUCGGAUGAAGGUUUUUGUGACUGAGUGGCGGACGGGUGAGUAACGCGUGGGUAACCUGCCUCAUACAGGGGGAUAACAGUUAGAAAUGACUGCUAAUACCGCAUAAGACCACAGAGCCGCAUGGCUCGGUGGGAAAAACUCCGGUGGUAUGAGAUGGACCCGCGUCUGAUUAGGUAGUUGGUGGGGUAACGGCCUACCAAGCCAACGAUCAGUAGCCGACAUGAGAGGGUGGCCGGCCACAUUGGGACUGAGACACGGCCCAAACUCCUACGGGAGGCAGCAGUGGGGGAUAGUGCAAAAUGGGGGAAACCCUGAUGCAGCGACGCCGCGUGAGCGAAGAAGUAUUUCGGUAUGUAAAGCUCUAUCAGCAGGGAAGAAAAUGACGGUACCUGACUAAGAAGCACCGGCUAAAUACGUG
rnacentral:rRNA from 1 species